rnacentral:rRNA from 1 species
AAACCAACUGGGAUUGCCUUAGUAACGGCGAGUGAAGCGGCAAAAGCUCAAAUNUGAAAUCUGGUACCUUUGGUGCCCGAGUUGUAAUUUGGAGAGUACCACUUUGGGACUGUACUUUGCCUAUGUUCCUUGGAACAGGACGUCAUGGAGGGUGAGAAUCCCGUGUGGCGAGGGUGUCAGUUCUUUGUAAAGGGUGCUCGAAGAGUCGAGUUGUUUGGGAAUGCAGCUCUAAGUGGGUGGUAAAUUCCAUCUAAAGCUAAAUACAGGCGAGAGACCGAUAGCGAACAAGUACAGUGAUGGAAAGAUGAAAAGAACUUUGAAAAGAGAGUGAAAAAGUACGUGAAAUUGUUGAAAGGGAAGGGCAUUUGAUCAGACAUGGUGUUUUGCGCCCCUUGCCUCUCGUGGGCUUGGGACUCUCGCAGCUCACUGGGCCAGCAUCGGUUUUGGCGGCCGGAAAAAACCUAGGGAAUGUGGCUCUGCGCCUCGGUGUAGAGUGUUAUAGCUCUGGGGAAUACGGCCAGCCGGGACCGAGGACUGCGAUACUUGUUAUCUAGGAUGCUGGCAUAAUGGUUAUAUGCCGC